GCGGAAGAGGGAGGUCUCCCGGAAAGUGUGGGAGAUGUAGCGUUCCGAGCUGCUUUAGACGCCCAGGCAUGAUGCUGGGGAAAUACAAGGGGGCUCGUCUCAACCCUCGGGACAGUCGAUCCCCGACACAGGAGUGGUCCGGUCUCCUCCUCAUCAAGAAGAGCCGCCACCGUCCCCUCCAGUUGCUUCAAAUGCGGAAGGGGGUCCUUCCCAACCA
rnacentral:misc_RNA from 1 species